ACGGCUCAAGCUUUGAGACUCGAUAACUCUUCCACUUCUGUCUUUUCCGAUCUCUGAGUUUGAUGAAUCAAUGAUUUGCAUUCUUAAUUGUCGUCUUCAAAACUGUAACCUCCAGAUGACGAUUCACUCUUCAAGUAUUCCUCCACUCUAUAUAUACGAUGCACCAGAUUUACACGGCCGCCAUAUAUAUUCAUCACUCUUCCACCAUCGAUACAUCUAUAAGAGUGAAUCUUAAAGUCUCUAAACCCAUCAUAGCAGCAAUUCCUCCCACCGUUUUUUUUUUUCGAUUACGUGGUCUCCAUAUUCUCCCAGAACCGAAUGCUAAUUGGUCUUCAACUAAUCUUCAUCGGCGAGAAGUGAUGGACUUCACGAAUCCGAGUUUUUUAGGGCAAUUGAAGGAGGGACAACAGCCUAUUAAGCAAGAAUCUGAAGCUUGUGAUCCGGUUUUAGCGAGCGAAACGAAAAUCUAGAUCAUUCUUGAGUUUGUCAGCUAAGGUGAACUAUCUGAAAAAAAAUUAAUGGAUGCUUUGUUUGGUUAGAUCUCUGAGGAGGCUAGAGAGCUUGAAAAACAACUCAGACAGACUUUGAGAAGGCUGGUUCUCACUACAACCAGAAAAAUAGAAUUUAGGGAAGAGAGGAAUGCUUUUUUAGUCAAAGGAAAAGAAGUGAGCAAAGUUGAAACUAAAGUUAGCAAAGGAGGACUUACAGUCACUGAAUCCUCCGACAUCCAACACAUUUUCUCCUAGAUAGGAAUCCUGUUACAAACAAUGACCAUACUCUACACCAGCCUGGACAGUGAUCUUAACUCUUGCUAUGCCAUGUUUCAGUUUUUGUAAAGCUAGGCAACAGCAAUGCGAAGGAGACACCAAGAGUUACAGACUCUGCACUGGGGAACCUCCCUGAAGUGGAUGGCUUCAUAUCCCAGAAUCCAAAGCUCAAGACAAUUGAGCAUGCUGUUAAGAAGGUCCGUACGGAAUAGAGUGAAUAUGGAAGCCUUAUUUUAUCAUGUUGCUUCGUUUUUUUAAUCAAAUAAUGCUUUGGUGUUUUGCCAUUUUCAAACUAUUGCGUAUGUUUGUUUAGUUCUUUGCACUACUAAUAUAAGAAUAUUUCGAAAUA